UACAGGGGGUGCAAACGUUGCUCGGAAUCAUUGGGCGUAAAGCGCACGUAGGCGGUUCGUUAUGUCGGAUGUGAAAGCCCUUGACUUAACCGAGGAAGUGCAUCCGAAACUGGCGAGCUAGAGUACGAAAGAGGAUCGCGGAAUUCCCGGUGUAGAGGUGAAAUUCGUAGAUAUCGGGAGGAACACCGGUGGCGAAGGCGGCGAUCUGGGUCGAUACUGACGCUGAGGAGCGAAAGCGUGGGGAGCGAACAGG
rnacentral:rRNA from 1 species